rnacentral:rRNA from 1 species
AGCGAACGCUGGCGGUAGGCCUAACACAUGCAAGUCGAACGGCAGCACAGUAAGUGCUUGCUCUAAAGGGUGGCCAGUGGCGGACGGGUGAGGUAUACAACGGAAUCUACACUUCCGUGUGGGAUAACGUAGGGAAACUUACGCUCAUACCGCAUACGACCUACGGGUGAAAGCAGGGGAUCUUCGGACCUUGCGCGGUUGAGUGAGCCGAUGUCGGAUUAGCUAGUUGGUGGGGUAAAGAGCCACCAAGGGGGCGAUCGGUAGAUGGUGUGGGGGGACGGUCGCCCACACUGGAACGGGGACAGGGUCCAGACGCCUACGGGAGGCAGCAGUGGGGUAUGUUGGGCAGUGGUCGGAAGCCUGAUCCAGCCGUCCCGAGUGGGUGGAGAAGGCCUUCGGUUUGUAAAGACGUUUUGUUGGGAAAGAAAAGCAUCAGGUUAAUACCCCGCUGUUCUGACGGUACCCAAAGAAUAAGCACCGGCUAACUUCGUG